CACGUAGGGUCCGAGCGUUGUCCGGAAUUACUGGGCGUAAAGCGCGCGCAGGCGGUUAGUCGCAUCGGCGGUGAAAGCCCCCCGCUUAACGGGGGAGGGUCCGUCGAGAUGGACUGACUGGAGGCAGGGAGAGGGCGGUGGAAUUCCGGGUGUAGUGGUGAAAUGCGUAGAGAUCCGGAGGAACACCAGUGGCGAAGGCGGCCGCCUGGA
rnacentral:rRNA from 1 species